rnacentral:rRNA from 1 species
UACGGGGGGAGCAAGCGUUGUUCGGAUUUAUUGGGCGUAAAGGGCGCGUAGGCGGCUUUUCAAGUGACGGGUGAAAUCCCUCGGCUUAACCGAGGAACUGCCUGUCAGACUGGAAGGCUUGAGACCGGGAGAGGUGAGUGGAAUUCCCAGUGUAGCGGUGAAAUGCGUAGAUAUUGGGAGGAACACCAGUGGCGAAGGCGGCUCACUGGACCGGAACUGACGCUGAGGCGCGAAAGCGUGGGGAGCGAACAGG